UCAAAUAAACAUUUUGUUCCCUCUAUCCUCGUGCCCCCUUUCAAUUGGGAGAAUCUUUCCCAUAACAGAAUUGCUGGGAACUUUCUCUAAUUUUAGUGGACCACACUAUACACCUGGAGACAAAAAUUAUAUUCUUGCUAUCUCCUUUUUUUGAUCCCCAAGCACAAACACACUAUAUAUGUAGAUGCCAAAAGCUAAUAAAAAGAUAGAUAAAAAUGAAAGGAACAGGGGGAUCUGGGGAACGAAGAACCUGGGGGAAAAUAGAAAAAGAGAGAUCAGAGAAACAAAAAAGAGAACGUCUUCUUCUUCAAGCAAAAUCACAGUAGCCAUACACCAUUAAAACGCCAUUUUUCUUCAUAACUUCACUAUGUAAAUCCCAAAAGAAACUCAGCUCUUCACCACCCUCGAACCCUUCCACUCUAGAGCCAUCCCUCUUCACCUCUCUUCCUCCUUUCUUUCGCUGCUGUUACGUCGCCAGAAACUAGCCGCAAACACUUCCCUAAACAGCCCCAAAAACCCCCGAUUCUAGCUUAAAAUUGACUCCAAAACCCUACCCGAACAGCCCCUGUUUUGCACCAGCAAAAUCAAAUCUAGAACCUGCAAACUCCAACUCGAAAUCUCCUCCAGAAAUAGUUCAAAAACGAGCUCAAAAACAUCUAGUUUUUCCAGCGAUAAUCAGCCACAAACCAGCUGAAAAUCAGCUCCAAACAAUCAGCCAAACACCUGAAAUUUCAGCGCCCAACCACCAUCAAAAACCGAUUGAAAUAGUAAAGCUUUCAGUCGAGGUCGCGGCGAGUUCGCGAUGCUCCGUUCGUGGCCUGGGAUGACGGCUCUGUUUGUUUUAACCGGUGAUGUAAGUUUUCUGCAUGAUGUUUUGCUAUUCUUCAUUUUUACCUACUGAGUUAAAUUGAACUUGUUUUAAUUGCUUUCUCUUGCUUAAGAGUCUUAUUUGCUUCUUUGCUCAAUCUCCUAUAGCCGCCUCUCAUGGUUUUAUUUCUUUUUGUUUUUAUUAUAACUAGUCUGCUAAAUAAUUUAGUGUGUCAUUUUUAUUGUAUAUUGUGAAGUGAUCAGUUAUAUUAAUAGAGUAAACUAGGAAAUAAAGAAAAGUAAGGAUUGAGAACUUAACUGAAUUUUUACAAUUGGGUUAUUGCAUUAGUAAUUUAAGAAUGAAUUUCGGAUUUAUUGUUGGGCCACUAGAAUAAAUUUGAAGGCUUUAUUUAAUUCCAACAUAGUAACACAAGGCCCCAGAAUACUUUUUAAGUCAGAAAUGAGCGAAAUAAAAUAAUUUGGGCUGUGACUAGGUGUCCGGUGGGUAGAAACAAAAGAAAUUCGGACCUUAAAGAUUUGGGGCUAAAAUAAAUCAUCAGACAAGCCCAUUUUUACGAUAAUAUGAUGCUGGCCCGCUUCUUCUUUAAUUGCAAAAGCUAACCCACUUUUCACGAUUAAUAUUCAUAAACUCUUGCUCUACGAUAAUCCCAAAAAUUAGCUUAGGAGAACAAUUGAUGAAUGUUCGUAGAAAAUGCUUUAAGCACGCUCCUAAUUAAUCAAACCAUCGUGAUUAUGUAUAUGUUCGCGUGAUAUAAUUAUGAUUUUUUAAAUUAAAUCGAGGUAUGUGUUCGCACAGCUUUGGCAUUAAUAAAGCGUGAUUACUUGUGGACACGUACGCGUGACAUGAUUCUUGAUGCGCCAAACGAAAUGAAUACACAUACGCGUGAUUCGUUUCAAAUUAAAAGCGGUAAAAGGUAAAAAUGUGCAUAGGUUCUAAAAUGAGUAAUUAAACAAUUUAAUUAAGCCAGGUAUGAUUAAAGCGACCGUGCUAAAAUUACGGAACCCGGGAAUGCCUAAUACCUUCUCCUUGGUUAACAGAAUUCCUUAUCUAGAAUUUUUGGUUCGCAGACUUUUAAAUAAAGUCAAAAAUUUUCUCGAUAUAUGAUUUAAAAAUAAACCGGUGACUUAGGACACCAAAAAUAAAUUAUUCCAAGUGACGACUCUGAAAAAUAAAUAAAAUAAUUCCAUUUCGAAUAAUAUCCCUUUAAUUGGAAAAACUCCCUUAUAUCCCCACGGAUGGGUAAAAUGGAGGUGUGACACGCAUUGUUCUUCGUUUUUCAAACUCUCUCAAACCCUAAGCCCUCUUGGGCGAUUUUCUAAAGAAUACUUCUUCUCCAAAUCAAUUGUAAGUUGUUUCUAACUCAUUUUCUUUAAUCUAUAACAUCUUUUCACAUGAUUUAAAUUCAAAAUCAAGGGUUUUCAUAGGGGAAAUUUGGUGUUUUGGGUAGAACUUAGGAUUUUCAAUUUUUGGGGAUUUGGACCUCGAUUUGAGGUCCGAUUUCAAAACAAAUUAUAUAUUUGAGUUCAUGGGUGAAUGGGUAAUCAAGUUUUGGUUCAAACCUCGGGUUUUGACCAUGUGGGACCGGGAUCGAUUUUUGACUUUUGGGGGAAAUCAUUGGAAAACCUAUUUUCAUGCAUUAGAAUUGAGUCAUUUAGUAUUUACUGAUAUUGUUAAGUAAAUUGUGGCUAGAUACAAGCAAAUUGGUGGUAGAAACAAGAGGUAAAGCGAUAGUUGAGGCUUGAAUUGUGUUUGUGGCAUUAAGGUAAGUGUUUGGUCUAACCUUAACUUGAGGGAUUAAGAGUUGUGUCUUAUUUGCUAUGUAUUAGUUGUUGAGUAUGACGUAUAGGCAUGGUGACGAGUAUCUAUACAUUGGUGUCAAGCAUGCUCGUGGGUCUUAUACUAUGAUUUAUAUGACUCUGUUUUCGUAUUGUUCAUGCUCUAUAUGAUAAUUUCUAUUGUUGAACAAGGCUUGUGGAAGUUUUAUCGGUAAUUGAACAUGGUAAAACGUUGGCUCAAGUUGAGAAUUGAGUUGUGAAGUAAAUGUGAAAAAGAGGAGAGAUUUAUGAUAUUGUCUCCCUUGCCGGGAUGUUAUUACUUUUGAUAUUAUCUCCCUUGCCUGGAUGUUAUUGCUUUUGAUAUUAUCUCCCUUGUCGGGAUGUUAUUGUUUUUGAUAUUAUCUCCCUUGACGGGAUGUUAUUACUCAUGAUAUUGUUUCCCUUGCUGGGAUAUUAUUGUUAUGCUAUUGUUCCGUUGCUGGGAUUUUAUUGUGAUAUUAUUGAUUCCCUUGCUCAAAUUGCUUUGUGAUUGUUGCUUGGGUGAGGAAGAGUGUAAAGCACGAAGGGUGAUGCCGUGUAUGAUUUUGGGAGUGUUAAUCCACGAAGGGUGAUGCCGUGCCAAUAUUGUUAGGUAAAAGCACGAAGGGUGAGGCCGUGCCACAUGAUGUACAAUGUUGUGCCAUGAUAUGAGUAAUAAUGCACGAAGGAUAAUUCCGUGCCAUGAUUAUGUGAGGUAAAAGCAUGAAGGGUGAUGUCGUGCCGAUUAUAUUGAUUCAUAUGGUGAGGACGAGAGUAAAAGCACGAAGGGUGAUGUCGUGCACUUGUCUUUGAUUUCUGAUUCUUGCUGAUUAUUGAAUUAUGGUGUUCUUUACAUGUAUCUGUUGGUUUCUGUUGUUACUUGUUGUUCCCCACAACAUGUUUCCCCCUCCUAUCUUUAACUGUAAAUUUCUGCAUUUAUUUUCUGCUAUAUAUGAUUUAACUGCACAGGUUUAUUUGGUAGUCUUGUCCUAGCCUCGUCACUAUUUUGCCGAGGUUAGGCUAGGAACUUACCAGCACAUGGGGUCGGUUGUGCUGAUACUACACUUUACACUGUGUGCAGACCCCGGUGCUGCAGCUUUUGGACCAUAUUGAGGUUGCUGCCUUCAGUCCACCAGGCGACUCGAGGUAGUCCUGCAGGCGUCCGCAGGCCUUGAUGUCUCCUUCUAUCCUUCCAUACUAUUUCUUUUAUGUAAUUCAAGAAUAACUUUGUAUUUAUAUUUUGAACCCCUAUUUGUAGUAUUCCUAAACAGUCUAUGAGAUUGUGACACUAGUUCUGGGUAGGUUUUGGUUAUGGAUUUGUAUCGGUAUUAUUAUUAAGUUGUUACAUUUCAUUCUUCCGCUUUAUUAUUUCGGCUGUUUAUAUAAUGUUAAUUCAUAAUUGUUAAAGGAUUAAAAAUGGAAAAGGUAAAAUAUUUGGAA
rnacentral:lncRNA from 1 species